UGGGGAAUAUUGGGCAAUGGGGGAAACCCUGACCCAGCAACGCCGCGUGAAGGAUGAAGGUUUUCGGAUUGUAAACUUCUUUGAUCAGGGACGAAACAAAUGACGGUACCUGAAGAACAAGCCACGGCUAACUACGUGCCAGCAGCCGCGGUAAUACGUAGGUGGCGAGCGUUGUCCGGAAUUACUGGGUGUAAAGGGCGUGUAGGCGGGACGUAAAGUCAGAUGUGAAAGACCGGGGCUUAACCUCGGAAUUGCAUCUGAAACUUAUGUUCUUGAGUGUUGGAGAGGAAAGCGGAAUUCCUGGUGUAGCGGUGAAAUGCGUAGAUAUCAGGAGGAACACCGGUGGCGAAGGCGGCUUUCUGGACAAUAACUGACGCUGAGACGCGAAAGCGUGGGGAGCAAACAGG
rnacentral:rRNA from 1 species